GUACACAAAAAUGCACAUAUUGUGAGCUCGAUGAGUAGGGCGGGACACGUGGUAUCCUGUCUGAAUAUGGGGGGACCAUCCUCCAAGGCUAAAUACUCCUGACUGACCGAUAGUGAACCAGUACCGUGAGGGAAAGGCGAAAAGAACCCCGGCGAGGGGAGUGAAAAAGAACCUGAAACCGUGUACGUACAAGCAGUGGGAGCCUCUUUAUGGGGUGACUGCGUACCUUUUGUAUAAUGGGUCAGCGACUUAUAUUCUGUAGCAAGGUUAACCGAAUAGGGGAGCCGAAGGGAAACCGAGUCUUAACUGGGCGUUAAGUUGCAGGGUAUAGACCCGAAACCCGGUGAUCUAGCCAUGGGCAGGUUGAAGGUUGGGUAACACUAACUGGAGGACCGAACCGACUAAUGUUGAAAAAUUAGCGGAUGACUUGUGGCUGGGGGUGAAAGGCCAAUCAAACCGGGAGAUAGCUGGUUCUCCCCGAAAGCUAUUUAGGUAGCGCCUCGUGAAUUCAUCUCCGGGGGUAGAGCACUGUUUCGGCAAGGGGGUCAUCCCGACUUACCAACCCGAUGCAAACUGCGAAUACCGGAGAAUGUUAUCACGGGAGACACACGGCGGGUGCUAACGUCCGUCGUGAAGAGGGAAACAACCCAGACCGCCAGCUAAGGUCCCAAAGUCAUGGUUAAGUGGGAAACGAUGUGGGAAGGCCCAGACAGCCAGGAUGUUGGCUUAGAAGCAGCCAUCAUUUAAAGAAAGCGUAAUAGCUCACUGGUCGAGUCGGCCUGCGCGGAAGAUGUAACGGGGCUAAACCAUGCACCGAAGCUGCGGCAGCGACACUAUGUGUUGUUGGGUAGGGGAGCGUUCUGUAAGCCUGUGAAGGUGGCCUGUGAGGGUUGCUGGAGGUAUCAGAAGUGCGAAUGCUGACAUAAGUAACGAUAAAGCGGGUGAAAAGCCCGCUCGCCGGAAGACCAAGGGUUCCUGUCCAACGUUAAUCGGGGCAGGGUGAGUCGACCCCUAAGGCGAGGCCGAAAGGCGUAGUCGAUGGGAAACAGGUUAAUAUUCCUGUACUUGGUGUUACUGCGAAGGGGGGACGGAGAAGGCUAUGUUGGCCGGGCGACGGUUGUCCCGGUUUAAGCGUGUAGGCUGGUUUUCCAGGCAAAUCCGGAAAACCAAGGCUGAGGCGUGAUGACGAGGCACUACGGUGCUGAAGCGACAAAUGCCCUGCUUCCAGGAAAAGCCUCUAAGCAUCAGGUAACAUCAAAUCGUACCCCAAACCGACACAGGUGGUCAGGUAGAGAAUACCAAGGCGCUUGAGAGAACUCGGGUGAAGGAACUAGGCAAAAUGGUGCCGUAACUUCGGGAGAAGGCAC
rnacentral:rRNA from 1 species